AACGAACGCUGGCGGCAUGCCUAACACAUGCAAGUCGGAACGAAGCCUUCGGGCGUUAGUGGCGCACGGGUGGCGUAACACGUGGGAAUCUGCCCUUCGGUUCGGAAUAACAGUUAGAAAUGACUGCUAAUACCGGAUGAUGACGUAAGUCCAAAGAUUUUAUCGCCGAAGGAUGAGCCCGCGUAGGAUUAGGUAGUUGGUAGGGUAAUGGCCUACCAAGCCGACGAUCCUUAGCUGGUCUGAGAGGAUGAUCAGCCACACUGGGACUGAGACACGGCCCAGACUCCUACGGGAGGCAGCAGUGGGGGAAUAUUGGACAAUGGGCGAAAGCCUGAUCCAGCAAUGCCGCGUGAGUGAUGAAGGCCUUAGGGUUGUUAAAGCUCUUUUACCUAGGGAUGAUAAUGACAGUACCUGGAGAAUAAGACUCCGGCUAACUCCGUGCCAGCAGCCGCGGUAAAUAGCGUACU
rnacentral:rRNA from 1 species